GGUAACGUUAGUUAUUUUAAAGAUGUCUCUCACUGGUAUUUGUACAGUUAAUUAGCACAAUACUUUAGCUUUACACAUUUGCUUUCAGAAUAAGCUACUUUACAUUUGUUGUUCUAGUAGUAGCAUGAUCUUUUAUUUUAAACAGGUGGGCCCAACAUAUGGCCGCAAAAUGAUGAAGGGCUAUCUGUCCACAAAAGGGGUACAUGCUGCAGAGGGACGAAUUGGGUCAAUUUUAAGAGAGGUGCAUCAACCUUAUCAUGAAGCAAGACGCCAGGGAGCUCGGAAUCUUAAUCCCACACCGUACCAUGCUGAAUGCAUGGGGCACAAGGUUCACCUGGACCAAAACGAG
ensembl:lncRNA